rnacentral:lncRNA from 1 species
GUAGACAUCACCCAUAGUGAACAUUUUUCUUCUUGUUCCUAAAAUUGGAAUGAAAUGAGGAAUAACACAGAGAAGUAAGAAACAGAAGGAAAGAAGUAAGCUGAAGGAAACGUGGGAGGGAGAAGAUUUAAAAAGAAACUAAAAGAAAAAAGAAAAAAAAGAAGCAUAUCCAACUAGAUGACAGUUCAUCACAAACGACAACGGGCGGGCUGCUGAUGUAGGAAAGUUCCGAGGGAGGAAACGGUGCUAUAACCACAGGCAUUCACAGCCUACAUGUGUGAAUGAGAAGCGAUGUUGGCCAGCUUUCUAAAGUUGAGUCUAGAAGGCAAGAGGAAGAUAGCUGAACAGAGAGAAAUAACAGCUGCCCAAGUAUGGGACUCACCGGAAAGCUUCUUCAUAAAGUGACGAAUUGGAAGAAGACCCUGGGCACCAGAUAGGAGCUGAGACUUCCAGGAAUAAAUCCUAUUACAGCCUGGGGGUAAGUCCCUUGAAAGCAGAAGGGAAUCAAUAACAAUCUUACUUAUUUUUAUUGUUAAUCUUGGGUAUCA